AUUGAACGCUGGCGGCAUGCUUUACACAUGCAAGUCGAACGGUAGAGGGGGCAACCCCUUGAGAGUGGCGAACGGGUGAGUAAUGCAUCGGAACGUGCCCAGUCGUGGGGGAUAACGCAGCGAAAGCUGUGCUAAUACCGCAUACGAUCUCUGGAUGAAAGCGGGGGACCGAAAGGCCUCGCGCGAUUGGAGCGGCCGAUGUCAGAUUAGGUAGUUGGUGGGGUAAAGGCUCACCAAGCCAACGAUCUGUAGCUGGUCUGAGAGGACGACCAGCCACACUGGGACUGAGACACGGCCCAGACUCCUACGGGAGGCAGCAGUGGGGAAUUUUGGACAAUGGGCGCAAGCCUGAUCCAGCAAUGCCGCGUGCAGGAAGAAGGCCUUCGGGUUGUAAACUGCUUUUGUACGGAACGAAAAGGUCUGGGUUAAUACCCUGGGCACAUGACGGUACCGUAAGAAUAAGCACCGGCUAACUACGUGCCAGCCGCCGCCGUAA
rnacentral:rRNA from 1 species